rnacentral:rRNA from 1 species
AGAGUUUGAUCCUGGCUCAGGAUGAACGCUGGCGGCGUGCCUAACACAUGCAAGUCGAACGGUCCCGAUUUAUCGGGAUAGUGGCAAACGGGUGAGUAACGCGUAAGUAACCUGCCCCUAAGUAGGGGAUAACUCCGAGAAAUUGGAGCUAAUACCUUAUGUGGUGAUGGGGGUAAAGCUCCAUGACUAAAGCCUUAGGGCGCUUGGGGAGGGGCUUGCGUCCGAUUAGCUAGUUGGUAGGGUAAUGGCUUACCAAGGCGACGAUCGGUAGCUGGUUUGAGAGGACGGCCAGCCACACUGGGACUUAGACACGGCCCAGACUCCUACGGGAGGCAGC